CCUACGGGUGGCAGCAGUGGGGAAUAUUGGACAAUGGGCGAAAGCCUGAUCCAGCCAUGCCGCGUGUGUGAAGAAGGCCUUCGGGUUGUAAAGCACUUUCAGUGGGGAAGAAAGCCUUGGGGCUAAUACCCUCGAGGAAGGACAUCACCCACAGAAGAAGCACCGGCUAACUCCGUGCCAGCAGCCGCGGUAAUACGGAGGGUGCGAGCGUUAAUCGGAAUUACUGGGCGUAAAGCGCGCGUAGGCGGUCUGAUAAGCCGGUUGUGAAAGCCCCGGGCUCAACCUGGGAACGGCAUCCGGAACUGUCAGGCUAGAGUGCAGGAGAGGAAGGUAGAAUUCCCGGUGUAGCGGUGAAAUGCGUAGAGAUCGGGAGGAAUACCAGCGGCGAAGGCGGCCUUCUGGACUGACACUGACGCUGAGGUGCGAAAGCGUGGGUAGCAAACAGGAUUAGAUACCCGAGUAGUC
rnacentral:rRNA from 1 species